AGGACGAACGCUGGCGGCGUGCUUAACACAUGCAAGUCGAACGAGAAAGGGUAGCAAUACCUGAGUAAAGUGGCGCACGGGUGAGUAACACGUGACUAACCUACCCUGGAGUGGGGGAUAACUGAGGGAAACCUUAGCUAAUACCGCAUAAUACCUACGGGUCAAAGGAGCAAUUCGCUUCAGGAGGGGGUCGCGGCCGAUUAGUUAGUUGGCGGGGUAAUGGCCCACCAAGACGAUGAUCGGUAUCCGGCCUGAGAGGGCGCACGGACACACUGGAACUGAAACACGGUCCAGACUCCUACGGGAGGCAGCAGUGGGGAAUUUUGCGCAAUGGGGGAAACCCUGACGCAGCAACGCCGCGUGGAGGAUGAAGUCCUUCGGGACGUAAACUCCUUUCGAUCGGGACGAUUAUGACGGUACCGGAAGAAGAAGCCCAGGCUAACUUCGUGCCAGCAGCCGC
rnacentral:rRNA from 1 species